rnacentral:rRNA from 1 species
GACGAACGCUGGCGGCGUGCUUAACACAUGCAAGUCGAACGGAAAGGCCCUGCUUUUGUGGGGUGCUCGAGUGGCGAACGGGUGAGUAACACGUGAGUAACCUGCCCUUGGCUUUGGGAUAACUUCAGGAAACUGGGGCUAAUACCGGAUAGGAGCUCCUGCUGCAUGGUGGGGGUUGGAAAGUUUCGGCGGUUGGGGAUGGACUCGCGGCUUAUCAGCUUGUUGGUGGGGUAGUGGCUUACCAAGGCUUUGACGGGUAGCCGGCCUGAGAGGGUGACCGGCCACAUUGGGACUGAGAUACGGCCCAGACUCCUACGGGAGGCAGCAGUGGGGAAUAUUGCACAAAGGGCGGAAGCCUGAUGCAGCAACGCCGCGUGCGGGAUGACGGCCUUCGGGUUGUAAACCGCUUUCGCCUGUGACGAAGCGUGAGUGACGGUAAUGGGUAAAGAAGCACCGGCUAACUACGUG